rfam:Myotis lucifugus cont2.31370, whole genome shotgun sequence.
AGGCCUGGAGAGAGAGGCAGGGUCUAAUCCGUAGCCUCCAUAGCAGCUGUUGAUCAACACUUGCCUCUCUCUUUUUCUCCG